rnacentral:rRNA from 1 species
AACGAACGCUGGCGGCGUGGAUAAGACAUGCAAGUCGAACGGGAUUUUCCGUUGUAGCAAUACGAUGGAAAAUUUAGUGGCGAACGGGUGCUUAACACGUGGGCAACCUGCCAGGAAGUGGGGGAUAGCUCACCGAAAGGCGAAUUAAUACCGCAUGUGAUUAGAGAGGACAUCCUUUCGAAAUUAAAGUCGGGGCAACCUGACGCUUCUUGUGGGGCCCGCGGCCUAUCAGCUAGUUGGGGAGGUAACGGCUCACCAAGGCUUUGACGGGUAGCUGGUCUGAGAGGACGACCAGCCACACUGGGACUGAGACACGGCCCAGACACCUACGGGUGGCAGCAGUCGAGAAUUUUUGACAAUGGGGGAAACCCUGAUCGAGCGACGCCGCGUGGAGGAUGAAGGUCUUCGGAUUGUAAACUCCUGUCAUUGGGGAACAAGGUGCAUACGUUAACUGCGUGUGCAUUGAUAGUACCCGAAGAGGAAGAGACGGCUAACUCUGUGCCAGCCGCCGCCGUAAAAC